rnacentral:rRNA from 1 species
UUGGACCUGAUAUCAGGUAA